rnacentral:rRNA from 1 species
GAUGAACGCUGGCGGCGUGCCUAAUACAUGCAAGUCGAGCGAACAGAUGAGGAGCUUGCUCCUCUGACGUUAGCGGCGGACGGGUGAGUAACACAUGGAUAACCUACCUAUAAGACUGGGAUAACUUCGGGAAACCGGAGCUAAUACCGGAUAAUAUAUUGAACCGCAUGGUUCAAUAGUGAAAUACGGUUUUGCUGUCACUUAUAGAUGGAUCCGCGCCGCAUUAGCUAGUUGGUAAGGUAACGGCUUACCAAGGCAACGAUGCGUAGCCGACCUGAGAGGGUGAUCGGCCACACUGGAACUGAGACACGGUCCAGACUCCUACGGGAGGCAGCAGUAGGGAAUCUUCCGCAAUGGGCGAAAGCCUGACGGAGCAACGCCGCGUGAGUGAUGAAGGUCUUCGGAUCGUAAAACUCUGUUAUUAGGGAAGAACAAAUGUGUAAGUAACUAUGCACGUCUUGACGGUACCUAAUCAGAAAGCCACGGCUAACUACGUG